rnacentral:rRNA from 1 species
AGGUCUUGACAUCCCCUGCAAAGCUUAUGGAGACAUAGUGGAGGUUUAUCAGGGAGACAGGUGGUGCAUGGUUGUCGUCAGCUCGUGUCGUGAGAUGUUGGGUUAAGUCCCGCAACGAGCGCAACCCUUAUUGCUAGUUACCAUCAUUAAGUUGGGGACUCUAGCGAGACUGCCAGUGAUAAACUGGAGGAAGGUGGGGAUGACGUCAAAUCAUCAUGCCCCUUAUGACCUGGGCUACAAACGUGAUACAAUGGCUGAAACAAAGGGCAGCGAAGGAGCGAUCUGGAGCGAAACCCAAAAAAGCAGUCUCAGUUCGGAUUGAAGUCUGCAACUCGACUUCAUGAAGUCGGAAUCGCUAGUAAUCGCGGAUCAGAACGCCGCGGUGAAUACGUUCUCGGGGUUU